rnacentral:rRNA from 1 species
UACGAAGGUGGCAAGCGUUGUUCGGAUUCACUGGGCGUACAGGGUGUGUAGGCGGUUUGGUAAGCCUUCUGUUAAAGCUUCGGGCCCAACCCGGAAAGCGCAGAGGGUACUGCCAGGCUAGAGGGCGGGAGAGGAGCGCGGAAUUCCCGGUGUAGCGGUGAAAUGCGUAGAUAUUGGGAAGAACACCGGUGGCGAAGGCGGCCAUCUGGACCGGAACUGACGCUGAGGCGCGAAAGCCAGGGGAGCGAAUGGG